rnacentral:tRNA from 1 species
GUUAUAUCUCAGUUGGUAGAGUGUUUGCCUCGCAUGUAGAAGGCCCUGGGUUCAAUCCCCAGCACA